GGACACACGUAAUUCUUGGCUGAUGUCACGAACAUUAACUAAAAUUUGUGAAAAGUAUUUGUUUGAAAAGUGAAAUUGUGUUUUUUGUUUAAUCUAAAGUUAGAAUCGUUAUUAUAUGCAAAAAAUUGUGUCGCGAGAGUCGUAAUNUGUUGUGUUUNUAUUGGGAAAAUUUCGUAAGUGCGUUUUCGGGUUUGUUCGUGGGUGUAUAUGCGCGUAUUUAUGAAUGUAACAAUUGCGUUGGUACUUCACGCGGUUCUCGCUUGGUUUAUGUAUGUCGCGUGUGUCGAAUAUUAAGUGCCAUAGUAUAGUGUUCCUUUAAAAAAAGCGCGUGGAGCAAUAUGGCCAAGGCAUGUUUAAAUAAGGUGCAGUACUACAAAGAUGUCAUCAUAAUUUUCGUGUGUCGGCAAAAUAAUUGGGGGCAUAAAGUGACCGUCGAGCGGUGACAGCUGCGCGAUAGCAAAAAAUAAAAUCGCUGAUAGUUUUUGCAUUAAGCUUUAACUGUGAAAAAAAAAAGUUUUCGCGUCUUCAGUUAACGGUAAAAUAGCGGUAUAUACGGCAAAUACGGUUUCGGUUUCGCGUUUAAUUUCGCGGUGUUUCGCAUCGGUUACGGUUGAAUUAAAAUUUUUCGGUAUUUAAACGGUAAAAAUAAACAGACGACCAAAUGUUGGCCUUUCAUAACGAGCACAUUGCAAGUUGUGCCUUUUUAACUUACUUUAGCCCGGAGAGCACAACGACGGCUGCUAAUUCGCCAACAACGCCACAAGCAGCUGUGCUCAAUGAUAAAACGGCCUUAACUGGGAUGAACCGUGCUUUACAGCUCAAGCCAGCUGAAAGUGAAAGUCGAAGCGAGCAUUUAGAUCGCAAACUGUUCGUUGGUAUGCUAAGCAAGCAACAAACCGAAGAGGAUGUUAGACAAAUAUUCAGCCCAUUUGGCAGCAUAGAAGAGUGCACCAUAUUGCGUGGUCCGGAAGGCGCCAGCAAAGGUUGUGCUUUCGUCAAAUUUAGUUCACAACAGGAGGCCCAGUCCGCCAUAACCAAUUUACACGGAAGUCAAACUAUGCCGGGUGCUUCCUCCAGUCUUGUUGUGAAAUUUGCCGAUACUGAGAAAGAGCGACAGAUACGACGUAUGCAACAAAUGGCGGGUCAUAUGAAUUUACUUAAUCCCUUUGUCUUUAAUCAAUUUGGACCAUAUGGAGCUUACGCGCAGCAACAACAAGCUGCUUUAAUGGCCGCCGCUGCCACUGCACCCGGCUCGUAUAUGAAUCCGAUGGCCGCGUUGGCAACGCAAAUACCUCAUGGCUUAAAUGGCACCGGUCAACCAUCGCUGCCCUCACCGACCAUGCCCAAUUUCAAUAUGGGCGCUCAAACGCCAAAUGGACAACCCGCUGCUGCAGCGGCCGCAGCAGCCGCCGCCGCCGCUGAUGGCGUCUUUACGAAUGGCAUUCCGCAAACGGCAUUCCCGGGACAUCCACUCCAUUUAACAAUUCCACCACAAGGUCUGCCUAAUGGUGAUGCUGCCGCCUUACAGCAUGCCUUCACUGGAAUGCCACCAUUUCCAGGAGUUGCCUUUCCCGCCGUUUAUGGACAAUUUCCACAAGCUUUACCACCACCUCUAGCGGCGGUUGCACCCACUCAACGUGAAGAUUUUCUGAUGUUCCCAGGAUGUUCGAUUUCGGGACCGGAGGGAUGUAAUCUAUUCAUAUAUCAUUUGCCGCAAGAAUUCGGCGAUGCGGAAUUGAUGCAGAUGUUCCUGCCAUUUGGUAAUGUGAUCAGUUCAAAGGUCUUCAUUGAUCGCGCUACAAAUCAGAGUAAAUGUUUUGGUUUUGUUUCAUUCGAUAAUCCUGCCAGCGCUCAAGCGGCCAUUCAGGCAAUGAAUGGUUUCCAGAUUGGCAUGAAAAGACUGAAAGUUCAACUGAAGCGGCCAAAGGAUGCCAGCCGACCCUAUUAACAAUCGGAGUUCCUUAAAGCGUUAAACAACAUUAACAAUUACAAACGAUUACUUCUUUCGAAAAUAAUGAUGAAACAAACAAAAAAAAAUNAAACAAAACUAAAAGUAAAAGCGCAGCAAGUAAGCCUCUACAUAUAACAACAGUCAGCGGCAGUAACAGCCAGCAGCAAAAGAAAAAAAAGUCGCAGUAAAGUAGUCAAUAGAUUCCAAUAAACUGAAUACAAAUACUGAUUCCGCAAAAUAAAUUCACCAAGCAACAUAUGUGCAAGUUUACAAUAAUGAAUAUCCCAGUGCAA
rnacentral:misc_RNA from 1 species